CACGUUUCAAAUCUGUAAGUAUCUUUGAAGUCACAUUGUAAUGUUUAUGCCAUACUUAUAUUUUCUUUCAAUAAAAAUGGAUAUAUGUCAAAAACAUGGAUAAUUUCAUCUUUGUCUCUCAGACUGGAAUAUAUUCCCAUUAGAUUUUAGUUGUGUCAACUAAAAUCUAAUGGAGGUUUAGUGGUCUAAAACAAUUCAGAUGACUAAAAUACGACUAAAACUAAAAUGGCUUUUUAGUCAAAAGACUAUGACUAAAUAAAAAUUUGCCGUCAGAAUUAACACUGCCACUAGCUAAAAGUUUUGAUGGUCUGAUAUACAAUUGCUUACAUGAAGCUUAUUACAUCCCUAAAAGUUCAGGUAAUUACAAAUUUCUUUCUCAAAGGGUUUGGUAAUUCCUAUUGAAUUAAUAGAAUACAGUCAACAAGGCAUCCUUAUUCCCUGUUAUUUCAAAGUAUAUUUUGAACAAAGCAGAAACCUGUCCGCUUGUUUUCAAACACAGGGAUGUUUUAACCCCUUAAGGACCGGCCUGUUUUUGCAAUGUUGUACGUUAAGGACCAGAGCAGUUUUGACACUUUUGUGGUGUUUGUGUUUAGCUGUAAUUUUCCUCUCUCUCAUUUACGGUUCCCAUACAAGUUAUAUAUUGUUUUUUUCAGGACAAGAAGGGCUUUCUUUACAUACCAUUAUUUGUAUCAUGUCA